CCUACGGGAGGCAGCAGUGAGGAAUAUUGGUCAAUGGGCGUAAGCCUGAACCAGCCAAGUCGCGUGAGGGAUGAAGGUUCUAUGGAUCGUAAACCUCUUUUAUAAGGGAAUAAAGUGCGGGACGUGUCCCGUUUUGUAUGUACCUUAUGAAUAAGGAUCGGCUAACUCCGUGCCAGCAGCCGCGGUAAUACGGAGGAUCCGAGCGUUAUCCGGAUUUAUUGGGUUUAAAGGGUGCGUAGGCGGCCUUUUAAGUCAGCGGUGAAAGUCUGUGGCUCAACCAUAGAAUUGCCGUUGAAACUGGGAGGCUUGAGUAUGUUUGAGGCAGGCGGAAUGCGUGGGGUAGCGGUGAAAUGCUUAGAUAUCACGCAGAACCCCGAUUGCGAAGGCAGCCUGCCAAGCCAUGACUGACGCUGAUGCACGAAAGCGUGGGGAGCAAACAGGAUUAGAUACCCCAGUAGUC
rnacentral:rRNA from 1 species